rnacentral:rRNA from 1 species
AGCGAACGCUGGCGGCAGGCUUAACACAUGCAAGUCGAGCGCCGUAGCAAUACGGAGCGGCAGACGGGAGAGUAACACGUGGGAACGUACCCUUUGGUUCGGAACAACCCAGGGAAACUUGGGCUAAUACCGAAUAAGCCCUCACGGGGAAAGAUUUAUCGCCGAAGGAUCGGCCCGCGUCUGAUUAGCUAGUUGGUGAGGUAAUGGCCCACCAAGGCGACGAUCCGUAGCUGGUCUGAGAGGAUGAUCAGCCUCACUGGGACUGAGACACGGCCCAGACUCCUACGGGAGGCAGCAGUGGGGAAUAUUGGACAAUGGGCGCAAGCCUGAUCCAGCCAUGCCGCGUGGGUGAUGAAGGCCCUAGGGUUGUAAAGCCCUUUCGGCGGGGAAGAUAAUGACGGUACCCGCAGAAGAAGCCCCGGCUAACUUCGUGCCAGCCGCCGCGGUAA